GGAGGGUACAGCCCAGUGAUAGAGCGUGUGCUUAGCGUGCACAAGGUCCUGGGUUCAAUCCCCAGUCCCUCCA
rfam:Camelus ferus unplaced genomic scaffold scaffold526, whole genome shotgun sequence.